rnacentral:rRNA from 1 species
GACGAACGCUGGCGGCGUGCUUAACACAUGCAAGUCGAACGGAAAGGCCCUGCUUUUGUGGGGUGCUCGAGUGGCGAACGGGUGAGUAACACGUGAGUAACCUGCCCUUGACUUUGGGAUAACUUCAGGAAACUGGGGCUAAUACCGGAUAGGAGCUCCUGCUGCAGGGUGGGGGUUGGAAAGUUUCGGCGGGUGGGGAUGGACGCGCGGCUUAUCAGCUUGUUGGUGGGGGAGUGGCUUACCAAGGCUUUGACGGGUAGCCGGCCUGAGAGGGUGAACGGCCACAUUGGGACUGCGAUACGGCCCAGACUCCUACGGUAGGCAGCGGUGGGGAAUAUUGCCCAAUGGGCGGAAGCCUGAUGCAGCGACGCCGCGUGCGGGAUGACGGCCUUCGGGUUGUAAACCGCUUUCGCCUGUGACGAAGCGUGAGUGACGGUAAUGGGUAAAGAAGCACCGGCUAACUACGUG